rnacentral:rRNA from 1 species
GACGAACGCUGGCGGCGUGCUUAACACAUGCAAGUCGAGCGAUGAAGUUCCUUCGGGAAUGGAUUAGCGGCGGACGGGUGAGUAACACGUGGGUAACCUGCCUCAUAGAGGGGAAUAGCCUUUCGAAAGGAAGAUUAAUACCGCAUAAGAUUGUAGUAUCGCAUGAUACAGCAAUUAAAGGAGUAAUCCGCUGUGAGAUGGACCCGCGUCGCAUUAGCUAGUUGGUGAGGUAACGGCUCACCAAGGCGACGAUGCGUAGCCGACCUGAGAGGGUGAGCGGCCACAUUGGGACUGAGACACGGCCCAGACGCCUACGGGAGGCAGCAGUGGGGAAUAUUGCACAAUGGGGGAAAUCCUGAUGCAGCAACGCCGCGUGAGUGAUGACGGUCUUCGGAUUGUAAAGCUCUGUCUUCAGGGACGAUAAUGACGGUACCUGAGGAGGAAGCCACGGCUAACUACGUGCCAGCAGCCGCGGAA